GUCAAGGUGCCAGAGUGGUUAAUGGGCUGCCCUGCUAUCAAAUCUUGAUUCCAGAUAAGGCAGUGGCUUCGGUCGCGCAGGUUCGAAUCCUGUCCUUGACG
rfam:Colletotrichum orchidophilum strain IMI 309357 Scaffold_34.1, whole genome shotgun sequence.